rnacentral:rRNA from 1 species
GAUGAACGCUGGCGGCGUGCCUAAUACAUGCAAGUCGAGCGAACGGACUAGAAGCUUGCUUCUCUGAUGUUAGCGGCGGACGGGUGAGUAACACGUGGAUAACCUACCUAUAAGACUGGGAUAACUUCGGGAAACCGUAGCUAAUACCGGAUAAUAUUUUGAACCGCAUGGUUCAAAAGUGAAAGACGGUCUUGCUGUCACUUAUAGAUGGAUCCGCGCUGCAUUAGCUAGUUGGUAAGGUAACGGCUUACCAAGGCAACGAUGCAUAGCCGACCUGAGAGGGUGAUCGGCCACACUGGAACUGAGACACGGUCCAGACUCCUACGGGAGGCAGCAGUAGGGAAUCUUCCGCAAUGGGCGAAAGCCUGACGGAGCAACGCCGAGUGAGUGAUGAAGGUCUUCGGAUCGUAAAACUCUGUUAUUAGGGAAGAACAUAUGUGUAAGUAACUGUGCACAUCUUGACGGUACCUAAUCAGAAAGCCACGGCUAACUACGUG